UACAGAGGGUGCAAGCGUUAAUCGGAAUUACUGGGCGUAAAGCGCGCGUAGACGGUUAUAUAAGUCGGGUGUGAAAGCCCCGGGCUCAACCUGGGAAUUGCAUUCGAGACUGUGUAGCUAGGGUGCGGAAGAGGGAAGCGGAAUUUCCGGUGUAGCGGUGAAAUGCGUAGAUAUCGGAAGGAACACCAGUGGCGAAAGCGGCUUCCUGGUCCAGCACCGACGUUCAGGCGCGAAAGCGUGGGGAGCAAACAGG
rnacentral:rRNA from 1 species